rnacentral:sRNA from 1 species
CCUAAGGGAUCCGCCCCCUCCGAGCAUCCGCCGCCCCUCGGAGACCACUCCAGCUCGGACGGAGCCACUCCAGCCCCCGCUGCACGCGGAAGCGCUCAUCCUCCCCGCCUGCCCCGUUCCCUCCCCCUUCUCCUGUGCGACAACCAGGGACCACAGCUCCCCGCUCCCCAGGUGUGGGGGCUCCGACACGAACGCCUCUGCUCGCAGGGCGGUGAGCGCAGAUCCCACGGGUCCCUCGGUCGGGGGUCGAGGCUGCUUCCGUUUCCAUCCCGGACCCGACAAUGGGCGGGAAAAAGAAGGCUUUACACGACUACGCGGCGGAGUUCACCGACCUGGUGGUGAAGCACCUGAUUGAGCACAGUGACUCUGGGGACACGUCUGUGGUGGAGACCCUUUACUGCAGGGCCUGCGAGCUGCCCGUGCGCGUGCGGAGGGACCGCAUCCUGGAACACCUGUCCUCGGGCAGGCAGCACGGCCUGCGGACGCCCAUUCUCAUGUAAAUGUCAGUGCCAACGCUGGUGUUUCAGGAGACAUCCCAGCGGGCUGCGGGCUAUUUUAGGAUUCUCUGCCCUGCAAACGUUUCCAAACUCAGCCGCCUCGGAUCUCGCUGCCACCAGCCUUACUGCACACCCGUGCCACCCGCCCUUGCCCCGUCAGCCUCAGCCUCAGCUCAUUCUCUCAGGCAGUCCCAGCAUUGGCACGGUACCUCCUCCCGCUGUGGGCCACACGUCUCUGCUCCCUGUCAACCCUACUGCCAUCAGCACCACCACCAGCGACUUGUCUGCCCAGGAGGAUGCAACACCAUCUGCCUCCACCGGCCACCUUUCAGUGUUUCCUGCUUUCCAAGUAAAGAUACCAGCAGUGCCCGCAGAGCAGACCAGCCAGAGAUUUUCUGAAGCCUCCCACAGGGUGCUCCCCGGAGGAGGCCCGAGAUGCUCUCGUGACUUUGGAGCCGGGGUGGCUGGCCACCUUGGCCUGGGCAUCUUUGGGAUGGGCUUCGGGAGCCCGGCACUGCUGCAGAGUGUGGUGGAUGAGAACAGCUGCUGCUUGCUGUACGUGGUGGAGGACCAGCUGUGUGAUGUGGAGCGAGCCUUCAGAGCUGAGCAUUUGGGCCAACACCAGAGUGGUUCGGGAACAGGAUGCAGACAUUGUCCUCAACGACCAGCGGCACUUUGAUCCGGUUUUCCAGUUCUUGCACAAGCAAGUUUUUGUCAGCCACGCCCUGGGGAGGAUCCACUGGAUCACCGCCGUCACAGCCUGUUCCCGGUGGCCUCUCCGGCUUCCCUAAAGAGAGCAGUAGCUUCCCUGGAGACCAGAAGCCAGAGCUCACCCUCCCUUGUGUCCAGGUGGGACUUUCUACAACGCUGCUAUGCACGACGCGGAUGCCGUAUGCAUGUUGCUGGGGGAAGCCACUCCGGACACUGUGUUUUCUCUGGGACAUGUCUUCUGCCCAGAUAUGGCCGCCUUAAAAGAUGCAGAUGCUGUUGUGAUCAGCAUGAAGUUUCCCUGUGAGGCUGUGGUCAGCGUGGACAUCAGCCAGCACUGCACAGACAGCUGCGACCAGGACGUCAGCCAGCACUGCACAGACAGCUGCAACCAGGACGUCAGCCAGCACUGCACAGACAGCUGCGACCAGGAUGUCAGCCAGCACUGCACAGACAGCUGCAACCAGAGACUGGAGGGAAAUAACCUCCUGAAAUCACCAAAGAGCAGUUCCUCAGGGCCUCCCGGGUGACCGUGGCUGUGGAGCAGUCGUGGUGGAACCGGUCAGAUGUGGACCUGCCCUGCGAAUCGGCAGAGGCCUCCGUGGUGAAGACAGAAGCUCCGUGAACCAACCCGAGGCUGGAGCCAAGAUCCUGCCGGAUAUCCAGUUGCCUGUUUCACUUGUUACUGUUACUGGGAGAGGGAGACAAAACCUCAUGGCGAUCUUGUCCUCACUGGAGACUCAGAAGGGGAAGCAUUGGGAAACCAUGUAUGUUUCAUUUCUGGUUUAACCAGGCUUUUCAGGAUGUGACUUCAGACCAAGGACACAAGUUGGGCUUGCUUAGGUGUUUUGUGUUGUGCGCAGGCCUCAGAGAUGCUCUUCCGGUCAGAGUUCCCUUGGCAGGGCCUUGGAGGCCUCUGGUUGGCUCUCUCAGGAAGAGGGCAGGUCAGGGAUUGGGCGCUGUAAAUUGACUCAGAAACCUGCGGUUUCAGCUUUUCUGUGGCAAACAGGGCCGAGGGCUGGUGAAGCUGUUAAGGCUAAAUGUCGCAUGCAUGAGGCGGGCUGCAGGCCUCCUUAGGCCUUUUUUGGGGUAAUUACACCAGUAUUUAAAAACAUUUUUUGUUUGUUUGUUUUGAGACGGAGUCUUGCCCUGUCACCCAGGCUGGAGUGCAAUGGUGCGAUCUCGGCUCACUGCAACCUCCGUCUCCCGGGUUCAAGCGAUUCUUCUGCCUCAGCCUUCUGAGUAGCUGGGAUUACACGCGUGUGCCACCACGCUCGGCUAAUUUUUGUAUUUUUAGUAGAGAUGGGAUUUCACCAUGUUGGCCAGGCUGGUCUCGAACUACUGACCUCGUGAUCCACCUGCCACGGCCUCCCAAAGUGCUGGGAUUACAGGCGUGA